GGCCCUGCUUGCCUUAUUUCUCCUCUUGGGGAUGGGAAGCUCCUGCCUGUAUGCCUAGAGCCUCAAAGCUCUUCCCAAACGAACCAGAAACGACCACGUCCUGGAGAAACUGAAAGAAAUCGGGCCAUUUAAUUUUUUUUUUCUCUCUGUUAGCAUAAGCCGAUUGAGCUAGAAAUGGAAAAUGAAAGCCUUCUGUCAUAAAAGGCCACUUCAGUGGCAGAGUGCUGGCCUGGAAAAACAGAGAAAAGAUUUCGCAAAGACAUUCUCUAGUGAGGGAGGCGCAGGCCGGUUUUGUUGGCCAAAUUCAGGAAAUCACACACACGUCGGGCAGCUCCAUUUUCAGUGGCAACCUUGAGAGACGCGCCUUGGCAUUGGCUGGCAUGGCCACCAAAGGCCCGCACUGGCAUUUUAUGGGACAUAAAUGAUAGCCCUGCUGCUGGGAGUUUGUAAUUAUUUAAUCAAACCCAGACGGUGGAACCUGGAGGGACAGCGUGUAUCCUUCUAAAAGAGGAAAAAAAGGCAACUCUCCAUGGCUUGCCAACCAUGGAGGAGGGCAACCCCUUAGGCCAGCCGGAGCCUUUUUCCCAGGAAUGUCCAGAGGUUGGAGCAGGGAUGCUUCCUGCCCACAGCCUGCCUCAUCCUGACGGAGCCAUGUACUUAGGCCAUUCCUGGGCAACCUACUCCCUCCCAACCGCUUUGAUGUGCUGGUGCCGCCCAAAGAAAGGAUGCCUGGACUGGUGAUGUCAUAAUGGCGUCCUUUUCAAAGAAUAUUAAGUUAAAGGAAAACACCAUUGGAUAAACUGACUUCAAUGGGACUUUGAGAUAGGGAAAUAAAAGGGGUUACAUGAUAUAGUAGAAAAUGGGAUUGAUUCAAAGUCAAGAGUAUUUGGGUUCCUUUCCUGCUACAUUACUUGUUCCCCUUGGGUCUAUCGGACAAAUCACUUCUCAUCUAAGACUUAAGAUUGUCAAAUGAGAAGAACGGAAGAUGAGCAGGUUACAUUUGAAAUUCACUCUCAUCUGAAUUGGUCAAAAGAGAGAAGAACACAUACAAAGAAAUGUAUAUUUUACUCAGAGAAUAGGAGGGAAAGGGGGAAAUGAAAGAGAGACAAUAGAUUAAGGAAGAUAUUCAUCUUCAGUUGAAUAAAUUCUGAAAGAAGAAAUCAGAAACAAAAAGUAGGCAACCUAUCGGAGAAUAAGAUGGAAGGAAAUACACAAUAAAUGUGAAUUUCACCAACGGAACUCGAGAGGAUAAAAGAAUGGAGUAAAAAAUAAAAUUUAACAAUGCAUUCUUUAUAAGAAAUACACUGGAAUUUGGAGGAAAAUGUAUAGCCUGUGUCUCUGACAAAUGCUAAAUUUCUCAAAUAUACAGAGAACUGAGUCAAAUUUAUAAAACUACAAAGUAUCUCCCAAAUGAAAAAAAAAUGAUCAGAGUAUAUGAACAGACAGUUCUCAGAGAAGAGAUUUAAAAUAUCUAUAGUCCUGAAAAAAAUGCCCCAAACAUUAUUGAUUAGAGCAAAACAAGUUUAAAAACUCUGAGAUACCACUUCACACCUAUUAGAUUGGUUAACGUGACCAAAAAGGAAAAUAAUAAUGUUGGAGAGGAUGUUGGAAAAUUGGUAUGCUAAUCUACUAUUUGUAGAACUGUGAACUGAUACAACCAUUCUAGAGAAAAAUAUGGAAUUGGGAUCAAAGGGCAUUAAAACUAUGAAUACCCUUUGACCCAGUAAUAUCACUACUGAGUCUAUAUCCAGAAGAGAUGAGAGAUAAGGAAA